GAUGAACGCUGGCGGCAUGCCUAACACAUGCAAGUCGGACGGGCAGUUGUGUUUCUUGCGGCGCUCGGGUGAGUAACGGGCAAGAACGUGCCACGGGGAUGGGCACCCUAUCAGGAAGCGGUUACUACUAGACCCCGGGCCUAGUAGCAAAAGGUGUAAUGCACCCGAGGGGGGACUUGUGUCUGAUUAGCUAGCUGGUGAUGCAAUAGCUUACCAAGGCGAUGGUCAGAAGUUGGUACGAGAGGAUGAUCCGCCACACUGGGACUGAGCCACGGCACAGACUCCUACGGGAGGCAGCAGUGGGGAAUUUUCCGCAAUGGGCGAAAGCCUGACGGAGCAAUGCCGCGGGGAGGUAGAAGGCCCAGGGGUCGUGAACUGCUUUUCCCGGAGAAGAAGCAAUGACGGUAUCUGGGGAAUAAGCAUCGGCUAACUCUGUG
rnacentral:rRNA from 1 species